CUUCGUCUUUGCUCUCCCGGAUUUGUCACUUGCCCGACCAUUGUUGCUCUCUCGAAACUGCACUUGCCCGACCGUUGUUGCUCACUCGGAUCUGCACUUGCCCAACCAUUGUUGCUCUCCCGGAUCUGUCACUUGCCGGUAUUUAUUUUGUUUAUGAGCUGAAAUUUUUGAGAAAUGAUUUGAAUGAUUUUUAAAGCUUCUUGAAAUUUCUAAGCUUUCUCAUAUGUAGUGACAAAUUUUGGCCAGCCUACUAGGAUUUUUCCUCAUUUAUUUUAGAGAUUAAAUCUAUUAAAACAAACAAUUUCUUGUGGAAAUUCUUUUAUACAGAUGCUUAAUUAUUUUAUUGGUUUAUUAAAGGGACCUCAAACAAAGAGGAGAUGUUGAAUGUGAAAUUAUGAUGCAUAUUUGACGAAAUGGC
rnacentral:lncRNA from 1 species